rnacentral:rRNA from 1 species
UACGUAGGGCGCAAGCGUUGUCCGGAAUUAUUGGGCGUAAAGAGCUCGUAGGCGGUUUGUCGCGUCUGCUGUGAAAACCCGAGGCUCAACCUCGGGCCUGCAGUGGGUACGGGCAGACUAGAGUGCGGUAGGGGAGAUUGGAAUUCCUGGUGUAGCGGUGGAAUGCGCAGAUAUCAGGAGGAACACCGAUGGCGAAGGCAGGUCUCUGGGCCAUUACUGACACUGAGAAGCGAAAGCAUGGGGAGCGAACAGG